UACAGGGGGGGCAAGCGUUGUUCGGAAUUACUGGGCGUAAAGGGCUCGUAGGCGGCCAACUAAGUCACACGUGAAAUCCCCAGGCUUAACCUGGGAACUGCGUGUGAUACUGGAUGGCUUGAAUUCGGGAGAGGGAUGCAGAAUUCCAGGUGUAGCGGUGAAAUGCGUAGAGAUCUGGAGGAAUACCGAUGGCGAAGGCAGCCUUCUGGCCAAAUACUGACGCUGAGGUGCGAAAGCAUGGGGAGCAAACAGG
rnacentral:rRNA from 1 species